GAAGCACUUAAUCUUUCAAGUUCUGAAAAUGGAACACUACUGUGCUGGGUGUUAGUGGACCCUUCGCAGAGACAUGGCUUUUGCAGUCGUGCAGAUUUUAGUGCAGAUCCUGCUUUCAGUUGGAUGACCAGACUAUCUACUGAAGUAAAGAUGGCUAUUAGAAAAUCAAAGAUCCUCUUUUGCAAUGGUUAUGACUUUGAUGAACUCUCCCCUAGCCUUCUUGAAUCUGCUCUUGAGUGUGCUGUGGAAUCUGGGACAUCUAUCUUUUUUGACCCUGGACCACGAGGUAGGAGUCUUAUCGCAGGAAGACCUGAAGAAC
rnacentral:misc_RNA from 1 species